GACAAACUAAAAAAGGAACAAUCACUAUCAAAAUUAUACAAUGAUUGAUGUGCAAGAAAUAUUAAAUAAUACUGAAAGGGAUGGAACAACAAGAAACUUCAUGGAAAAUUUUGGUAGCUCAGUUGAUGGAUUAUCUUUUGUCGGUGUAAUUUUGAUUUCCACCUCAUAUGAAAGAAUAAAGUGAUACAGUUCAUAACUACUAUAUCCAAGGUCAUAUCUUUGUGAAGUUAGUGCAUCAUGUCUUAUCACCUAUCCACAAUAUCCUUGUACCUUUGCAUUGGAACACUAGUACAUCUCAUUUUUACAUAUUCAAACUAUCUCGACCAAGAAAAUUUGGAAACUAUAUUUUAAAAAAAUCUAAAAAUUGUAAAUGUAAAUCUUUGUUCUAAAGAAAUUGUUUUUUUAAUACUUUCAACAAGAAAAAUUAAUGAACUGGUAAAAAGAUGGGAGUAUUAUAGUUCAAGUGUUGAGGGGACUAUAUAAGCAAAACCUAAGGGAAAUGGACAAAGCAAAAAGCUCAAAAGGGAAAGAAUGAGGCUUAAAGAGAGUUUAAGGAUUUCUCAUUGGAAUGGUGGUUGCCACUCUCUACAUCAGCCGAUGAUUUCUCCAUUAAUGUAAGAAUUCCAACAACCCUUUUAUCAAUUUUGAACAGAGGGAAUAUAUAAUUAUCAGCUUUGUUUGAAAUGGGUUUCUAUGACCUUUCAACUCUUUUUCUCUUUAUUUUUUCUUUAUACUUCUGCCUGAGCAUUCAGUGUUGCUGGUGGGGGUGAGUAUAAUUGGUGUCUUUAUAGAGGCGAUGAUGAUUUUUGUCACUUUUUAUUCCCUUUUGAGCUGAUUAAUUGAGCAUUUGAGGUUAUCCGAUCUGUAUCUUGGCGGGGCAUACUGUUUUUUGCAGCCAUGGCGUGGUUGGACCUUCUUUUUGCUCGAGCUUGACACAGAUCUGAGCCUCAAUUUACUGGUCUCUUCGUCCAUUUCAAUUGAGGGAGUAUUAUUAACAGCUUCAGGGGUACUAUAAGCAAAAGUUCAUAAAUAAAAAAUGAGGCUAACAGGUCUUUUGAGGAUUUUUUUUGUUGAAAGGGUGGUUGACUCUCUCUGCAUUCAGCCAAUGCAUUCUCCAUACUUUGCUUUUAUUGCUUCGGAUGGCUUGGAAGAGGCGAUGAUGAUUCUUGUAACUUUAUUCCCUUCUGAGCUGAUUAAUUGAGCAUUGGAGGUUAUCCGACCCGUAUCUUGGCGGAGCAUGCUGGUUUUUGCAGCCAUGGCGUGGUUGGACUCUCUUUAUACUCUAGUUUAACACAGAUCUGAGCCUCAAUGCACUGGUCUCUUCGUCAAUUUAAAACUGAGGGAGUAGUAUUACCAGCUUCAGGGUACUAUAAGAAUGAGGCUAACAGGGAGUUUGAGGAUUUUCGUUGAAAGGGUGGUUGCCUCUCUCUGCAGUCAGUCAAUGAUUUCUCCAUUAUUGUAAGAAUCCCAACAACCCUCUUAUCAAUUUUAAACAGAGAAAGUAUAUGAUUAUCAACUUUUGUUUGAAAUGGGUUUCUAUAUGCCCUUCCAACUCUUUUUUUCAACUCCUUUUUAAUGCUUCCGCCGGAUCAUUGAUUGUUGCCACUGGAGCUGAGAAUAAUUGGACAGCUUGAAAGAGGCAAUGAUGAUUUUUGCCAAUGUUUAUUCCCUUCUGAGCUGAUUAAUCGGGCAUUUGAGGUUAUCCAACCCGUAUAUUGGCGGGGCAUGCUCCCAGAUUUUCUGGUGGCUUAUGCAGCCAUGGCGUGGUUGGAAUCUCUUAUUGCCUGAGCUUAACACAAAUCUGAGCCUCAAAUUUUUCUCUGUUCAGCUUGGCUUUUUUUGUUAUAUUUAGGGUAUGUUUGGUAUGAAGGAAAAAUGUUAUCGAGAGUUGAGAUACAAAAAACAAAAAGCUCAGAAGGGAAUGAAUGAGGCUACAAAGAGUUGAGGAUUUUUCAUUGAAAGGGUGGUUGCCUCUCUCAGCAUUCAGCCAAUGAUUUCUCCAUUACUGUAAGGAUCCCAACAACCCUUUUAUCAAUUUUAAACGGAGGGAGUAUAUAAAUAACAGCUUGUUUGGAUUGUUGUUACAUAUUGUUUCAGAGGUUUUUAUGCCCUUCAGCUCUUCUUUUCAACUCCUUUUUAAUGCUUCUGCCGGAGCAUUGAAUGUUGCCGGUGGAAGCUAUGGUGGUGAGUAUAAUCGGAUGGUUUGAAAGAGGCGAUGAUGAUCUUUGUCAAUUUUAUUCCCUUCUAAGCUGAUUAAUUGAGCAUUUAAGGUUAUCCAACCCGUAUCUUGGUGGGGCAUGCUGGUUUAUGCAGCCAUGGCGUGGUUGACUCUCUUUUUGCUCGAUCUUAACACAGAUCUGAGCCUCAAU